rnacentral:tRNA from 1 species
GCCUGGGUGGCUCAGUUGGUUAAGCGUCCGACUUCAGCUCAGGUCACGAUCUCGCAGUCCGUGGGUUCGAGCCCCGCGUCGGGCU